rnacentral:tRNA from 1 species
GGUCCGUUGGCCCAAUGGUAAGGCGUCUGACUACGAUUAUUCGAAGCGCAAUCAGGAGAUUCUGGGUUCGACCCCCAGGCGGACCU